UGCAAGUCGAACGCUUCUUUUUCCACCGGAGCUUGCUCCACCGGAAAAAGAGGAGUGGCGAACGGGUGAGUAACACGUGGGUAACCUGCCCAUCAGAAGGGGAUAACACUUGGAAACAGGUGCUAAUACCGUAUAACAAUCGAAACCGCAUGGUUUUGAUUUGAAAGGCGCUUUCGGGUGUCGCUGAUGGAUGGACCCGCGGUGCAUUAGCUAGUUGGUGAGGUAACGGCUCACCAAGGCGACGAUGCAUAGCCGACCUGAGAGGGUGAUCGGCCACAUUGGGACUGAGACACGGCCCAAACUCCUACGGGAGGCAGCAGUAGGGAAUCUUCGGCAAUGGACGAAAGUCUGACCGAGCAACGCCGCGUGAGUGAAGAAGGUUUUCGGAUCGUAAAACUCUGUUGUUAGAGAAGAACAAGGAUGAGAGUAACUGUUCAUC
rnacentral:rRNA from 1 species